rnacentral:rRNA from 1 species
UACGUAGGCAGCGAGCGUUGUUCGGAAUUACUGGGCGUAAAGAGUGUGUAGGCGGUGUUCCCAGUCUGUUGUGAAAUCUCCCGGCUUAACUGGGAGGGUGCAGCGGAAACUAGAAUGCUAGAGGGUGGGAGAGGUAAGCGGAAUUCCUGGUGUAGCGGUGAAAUGCGUAGAGAUCAGGAAGAACAUCGGUGGCGAAGGCGCUCUGCUGGACCAUAACUGACACUCAGGGACGAAAGCUAGGGGAGCAAACGGG